rnacentral:rRNA from 1 species
CCCCAGACUCCUACGGGAGGCAGCAGUGGGGGAUAUUGCACAAUGGGGGGAACCCUGAUGCAGCGACGCCGCGUGGGUGAAGGAGCGUUUCGGCGCGUAAAGCCCUAUCGGCAGGGAAGAAGGAGGACGGUACCUGACUAAGAAGCCCCGGCUAACUACGUGCCAGCAGCCGCGGGAAUACGUAGGGGGCAAGCGUUAUCCGGAUUUACUGGGUGUAAAGGGAGCGUAGACGGCUGUGCAAGUCAGAAGUGAAAGCCCGGGGCUCAACCGCGGGACUGCUCUUGGAACUGCGUGGCUAGAGUGCAGGAGGGGCAGGCGGAAUUCCUAGUGUAGCGGUGAAAUGCGUAGAUAUUAGGAGGAACACCAGUGGCGAAGGCGGCUUACUGGACUGUAACUGACGUUGAGGCUCGAAAGCGUGGGGGGCAAACAGGAUUAGAUACCCUGGUACAU